rnacentral:rRNA from 1 species
AGUGAACGCUGGCGGUAGGCCUAACACAUGCAAGUCGAACGGCAGCACAGUAAGAGCUUGCUCUUACGGGUGGCGAGUGGCGGACGGGUGAGGAAUACAUCGGAAUCUACUUUUUCGUGGGGGAUAACGUAGGGAAACUUGCGCUAAUACCGCAUACGACCUACGGGUGAAAGCAGGGGAUCUUCGGACCUUGCGCGAUUGAAUGAGCCGAUGUCGGAUUAGCUAGUUGGCGGGGUAAAGGCCCACCAAGGCGACGAUCCGUAACUGGUCUGAGAGGAUGAUCAGCCACACUGGAACUGAGACACGGUCCAGACUCCUACGGGAGGCAGCAGUGGGGAAUAUUGGACAAUGGGCGCAAGCCUGAUCCAGCCAUACCGCGUGGGUGAAGAAGGCCUUCGGGUUGUAAAGCCCUUUUGUUGGGAAAGAAAAGCAGCAGGUUAAUACCCCGCUGUUCUGACGGUACCCAAAGAAUAAGCACCGGCUAACUUCGUG